GUCGGGGUCCCUGUCCCGCGUACGUUUUGGCCGUUUGAUUUCUGCACCAGAUCAAAACUGAAUAUUUCAUUUUAUUCCUCGUGAGUCCUUUUUUGGUAUGAUCAAAAUAUACAUCCUUAUUAGUGCUACUAAACUAUUCUGAUCUAUUCUGAUUUAAUAGUUCAUACAGUUGUUACAUCCUAAGUACAAGCAUUUUUACCAUUUUUCCAACAUAGUCACAAUCUCAGUGGAACGUAAACAUGGACUAAUACAAAGAAAAGUAUGUGUUUAACAUCAAAUUGCUUUAUUAAAGCUUGUAUCAGAUGUUUUUACAAUAUCUAUGAAACUGAUUCUUGACGUCUCGCCUUGACCGUCUUGAGUUGAAGAGCUUCCAAACCCAGCAGCCCAUGGGAAGCAGUGACCCAGUCACUUCCUCCUCUUUGUCUCCACUGAAGACUGGAGGGAUUGAAGAGGUGCAGGCUGCAAGAAAAACCAUCAGGAACAGAUGCAUUGUUAACAUACGUCUCUACAUUAGAGACUCUGGAAACACAGGGGAUAACAUCUCUCCAGGACCUAUGGCUGUCAUCUGGUCUCUGUCGUCAAGGAAACCCUGUAUGACGUUCUCCAGCCUCCACAGCUGCACCUGUCAUCAGGACUCUGACCUUACUCUCCAUCAGCUCUGGUAUUUCAGGACCAGCGACACUUAAUUUUCCUAAGGAAGGCAAAGGGGGAAAAGACAGAGAGAGAACGAGAUCAGGAAAGGGAGGGAGCUUGGAGAGAGAGAGAAGGAGCGAGGGAGAGGGAGCAAGAGAAUGAGGGAGAGAGGGAGCUUGGAGAGAGAGGGAAAGGGAGCAAACUAAGGAGAAGGAGAGCGGGCAAAAGGAAAAGGAGGGAGGGUGAGAGGGAAAGGGAGGGAGCUUGGAGAGACAAAAGGAGACUGAGAGCGAUUGAGGGAGCUUGGAGGGAGAGACGGAGGGAAGAAGAGAGCUUGACUAAAAAGGGGGAGGUUGGAGAGAGGGAGGGACAGAUGGAGCUUGGAGGGUGAGAGGGAGGAAGAGAGUUUGACUACAAGGAGGGAGGUUGGAGAGAGAGCGAAGCAGAGAGCUUGACUAAAAGAAGAGAGGGGGCUUGACUUGAAGGGUGACAGGGAGGGAGGGAGAUUGGCUAUAAUGAGGGAGGUGGACAAAAGGAGGGAGGUUGACUAGAAGGACAGAUGUUGACUGGAAGGAGGGAGGAGCGCCCUCAUCUUCAACAGCUUUCCCCCUGUAAGGGAUGCGGCUGCUGGAGUCUAUCCCAGCAAUCAUUUGUGCUUGACCUCAUUAAUUCUAAUGCCCCCAUGUCAUUAUCAUAUUAAUAGAGAUAGUUUAAAUUAAAUUUUUUUUUUUUUAAGUAGAGGUGGAGCAGCAGCAUCAGCCCCCACCUCGCCCCCUACAUUUGACCUCUGUUGCGGUGUCGCUCACCUGACCGUCUCUUGUAUUGUUCGAGUUUUCCAAUCAAUCACCAUGGCCCUGACCCCAGUCCCACUCGCUGGCCACCUCCAGCUCACCGGGGGGAUCCCAGGGCGUUCCCAGGAGCAGUCCAGACAUAGUCCGUCCCCAUCUUCCCCAGGGCCUCCUUGCGCCCGCGGCUCUGGUCUGGAUCACCUGACCUGGAAAUGGCCGUCAGAGAACCCAAACUCUAAGCCUAAGCCCAACGCUCCUCCCUUGU
rnacentral:lncRNA from 1 species